rnacentral:rRNA from 1 species
UACAGAGGGUGCGAGCGUUGUUCGGAAUUAUUGGGCGUAAAGCGCUUGUAGGCGGCUUGUUAAGUCGCGUGUGAAAUCUCCCGGCUCAACCGGGAAAGUGCGCGCGAAACUGGCGAGCUUGAGUGCUGGAGAGGGUGGCGGAAUUCCCGGUGUAGAGGUGAAAUUCGUAGAUAUCGGGAGGAACACCAGAGGCGAAGGCGGCCACCUGGACAGACACUGACGCUGAGAAGCGAAAGCGUGGGGAGCGAACAGG